rnacentral:lncRNA from 1 species
AACCAUGUUGAUCAAGAUCCCAUCUGCAUAAAAACGCAAAGGAAGCAACUCUUGUGUAUGAAGAAGAACCUACACUGGGCAACUUAUAUUAUAAUCCGUUGCAGUAUAAAAGAAUAACCUGAAGCCGAGCAGGUAGUCAUGCGCCUCAUAUAUGUUUCCUGCAAUAAAAACCACAUGAAGUUUAGGAGCACCGAGUGCUGUCACAAUAAAUAAACAAUUUGCUUGUGAAUCUACUUCAUACAACUUUUCAAAUAUGUGGUAUUACAAGUUUGUUUAAGAACUGACCAGUACCACAACAGGAAUAGGAACAGUUAAUACAUUAUACAUGCAAUUUAUUCAUAGAAAUUGAAGUUCGAAACUCAGAGCUACCACUACGAUUCAAAGGGUUGAAAAAUGAUUUCAGAUGCACAUCAUGAGCAAUACAGAAGCUAUAAAAAGUUCUAUAAUAUUUAGACGAAAAUAAAAGUGAAGCAAAAACCAGUUGUAACUUCACAUCACUCUCAUACCCAUUGAUAUAAUCCAAUGCAUAUUUUUACAAACUAUCAACUUAUAUAGUCCUGUAGUCUGAUAACUGCACCUUCUUUGUUGGUAUCUCAUAAUUUAUCAAAACGUGGGCAGAAAGAGGUGACUCCCCAGAAGCAAGAAGUGGAAGGCAGGCGUCUGUUACUACAAUCAUGUGAGAUUUUUCUCCAACUUUCUCAGCCUCACAUUUUUCUUCUGAUAGAGAACUGAACUUUUGGCUCCACCUCGAUGUUGUUUGCCGAA